rnacentral:rRNA from 1 species
UGGGGAAUUUUGGACAAUGGGCGAAAGCCUGAUCCAGCAAUGCCGCGUGUGUGAAGAAGGCCUUCGGGUUGUAAAGCACUUUUGUCCGGAAAGAAAUCCUUGGCUCUAAUACAGUCGGGGGAUGACGGUACCGGAAGAAUAAGCACCGGCUAACUACGUGCCAGCAGCCGCGGUAAUACGUAGGGUGCAAGCGUUAAUCGGAAUUACUGGGCGUAAAGCGUGCGCAGGCGGUUUGCUAAGACCGAUGUGAAAUCCCCGGGCUCAACCUGGGAACUGCAUUGGUGACUGGCAGGCUAGAGUAUGGCAGAGGGGGGUAGAAUUCCACGUGUAGCAGUGAAAUGCGUAGAGAUGUGGAGGAAUACCGAUGGCGAAGGCAGCCCCCUGGGCCAAUACUGACGCUCAUGCACGAAAGCGUGGGGGAGCAAAACAGGAUUAGAUACCCUGGUAGUCCACGCCCUAAACGAUGUCAACUAGUUGUUGGGGGAUUCAUUUCCUUAGUAACGUAGCUAACGCGUGAAGUUGACCGCCUGGGGAGUACGGUCGCAAGAUUAAAACUCAAAU